UUCUUGGUAGUCGAUGUUCGUGGGACACGU
rnacentral:piRNA from 1 species